rnacentral:rRNA from 5 species
GGUUGAUAGGUCGAAGGUGUAAGUGCAGCAAUGUAUUUAGCUUAUCGAUACUAAUAGGUCGAGGACUUGACCAA